CGCGUAUACAAUCUACCUUGCACUGAGGGAUAGCCCAGAGAAAUUUGGAUUAAUACCUCAUAGUAUUUAUGAUUCACCUGGAUUAUAAAUUAAAGGUUACGGUGUAAGAUGAGUAUGCGUUCUAUUAGCUAGAUGGUAAGGUAACGGCUUACCAUGGCAACGAUAGAUAGGGGUCCUGAGAGGGAGAUCCCCCACACUGGUACUGAGACACGGACCAGACUCCUACGGGAGGCAGCAGUGAGGAAUAUUGGACAAUGGAGGCAACUCUGAUCCAGCCAUGCCGCGUGUAGGAUGACUGCC
rnacentral:rRNA from 1 species